rnacentral:rRNA from 1 species
CCUACGGGUGACAGCAGUGAGGAAUAUUGGUCAAUGGCCGAGAGGCUGAACCAGCCAAGUCGCGUGCGGGAAGACGGCCCUACGGGUUGUAAACCUCUUUUGUCCGGGAGCAACGCGAAUCACGUGUGGGUCAUUGCGAGUACCCGAAGAAUAAGCAUCGGCUAAUUCCGUUCCAGCAGCCGCGGUAAUACGGAGGAUGCGAGCGUUAUCCGGAUUUAUUGGGUUUAAAGGGUGCGCAGGCGGAGGUGCAAGUCAGCGGUAAAAUUGCGGGGCUCAACCCCGUACUGCCGUUGAAACUGCAGCCCUUGAGUGCGCGGGAAGUAGGCGGAAUGCGUGGUGUAGCGGUGAAAUGCAUAGAUAUGACGCAGAACUCCGAUUGCGAAGGCAGCAUACCGGCGCGCAACUGACGCUGAUGCACGAAAGCGUGGGUAUCGAACAGGAUUAGAUACCCGAGUAGUC